GCCGGGGUGGCGGAAUUGGUAGACGCGCAUGGUUGAGGGCCAUGUGGGAGCUUAUCCUGUACGAGUUCAAGUCUCGUCCUCGGCAUCA
rnacentral:tRNA from 1 species